GAUGAACGCUAGCGGCAGGCUUAAUACAUGCAAGUCGAGGGGUAGCAAGAUUGUAGCAAUACAAUUGUUGACGACCGGCAAACGGGUGCGGAACACGUACACAACCUUCCUACAAGUGGGGAAUAGCCCAGAGAAAUUUGGAUUAAUACCCCGUAACAUAGUGAUGUGGCAUCACAUUGCUAUUAUAGCAUCGGCGCUUGUUGAUGGGUGUGCGGCUGAUUAGAUAGUUGGCGGGGUAACGGCCCACCAAGUCUACGAUCAGUAGCUGAUGUGAGAGCAUGAUCAGCCACACGGGCACUGAGACACGGGCCCGACUCCGACGGGAGGCAGCAGUAAGGAAUAUUGGACAAUGGACGCAAGUCUGAUCCAGCCAUGCCGCGUGAAGGAUUAAGGUCCUCUGGAUUGUAAACUUCUUUUAUAAGGGACGAAAAAAGGUCUUUCUAGAUCGUCUGACGGUACCUUAUGAAUAAGCACCGGCUAACUCCGUGCCAGCAGCUGCGGUAACAC
rnacentral:rRNA from 1 species